rnacentral:rRNA from 1 species
UACGGAGGGUGCGAGCGUUGUCCGGAAUCACUGGGCGUAAAGGGCGCGUAGGCGGCCUGAUAAGUAGGGGGUGAAAUCCUGCGGCUUAAACCGCAGGGCUGCCUUCUAAAACUGUCAGGCUAGAGCACAGUAGAGGCAGGUGGAAUUCCCGGUGUAGCGGUGGAAUGCGUAGAGAUCGGGAAGAACAUCAGUGGGCGAAGGCGGCCUGCUGGGGCUUGUUGCUGACGCUGAGGCGCACAGCGUGGGGGAGCAAACAGGG